rnacentral:rRNA from 1 species
AUUGAACGCUGGCGGCAUGCUUUACACAUGCAAGUCGAACGGUAACAGGCCGCAAGGUGCUGACGAGUGGCGAACGGGUGAGUAAUGCAUCGGAACGAGCCCAGUCGUGGGGGAUAACGCAGCGAAAGCUGCGCUAAUACCGCAUACGAUCUAUGGAUGAAAGCGGGGGACCGUAAGGCCUCGCGCGAUUGGAGCGGCGGAUGGCAGAGUAGGUAGUUGGUGGGGUAAAGGCUCACCAAGCCAACGAUCUGUAGCUGGUCUGAGAGGACGACCAGCCACACUGGGACUGAGACACGGCCCAGACUCCUACGGGAGGCAGCAGUGGGGAAUUUUGGACAAUGGGCGCAAGCCUGAUCCAGCAAUGCCGCGUGCAGGAAGAAGGCCUUCGGGUUGUAAACUGCUUUUGUACGGAACGAAACGGUCCUGGUUAAUACCUGGGGCUAAUGACGGUACCGUAAGAAUAAGCACCGGCUAACUACGUGCCAGCCGCCGCCGUAACAC